rnacentral:rRNA from 1 species
UACGUAGGGCGCAAGCGUUAAUCGGAAUUACUGGGCGUAAAGCGCACGUAGGCGGCUUGGUAUGUCGGGUGUGAAAUCCCCGGGCUCAACCUGGGAACUGCAUCCGAAACUGCCUUGCUAGAGUAUGGGAGAGGGAAGUGGAAUUUCCGGUGUAGCGGUGAAAUGCGUAGAUAUCGGAAGGAACAUCAAUGGCGAAGGCGACUUCCUGGACCAAUACUGACGCUCAGGUGCGAAAGCGUGGGGAGCAAACAGG